rnacentral:sRNA from 1 species
AUUCUCCCGUGUAUAUAACACACAUGUAUCGACACAUACGCCGGGGUGCCUUGAACGUAGUGAGAGGUCGGUUGUAUGGGAUACAUGGAGGCUUAAC